UAUAACAAGUGAAUGUUGGAUGGUACUAUCAAUGGUACUUUCAAAAUAACAUCAUAUUAUUUGGGUAUUUUGGUACUUACAUUUCAUCUCUUAUUUUAUUUCUUGGUGAUUUGUACUAUGAUAUUAGAUCAAUGCCUCAUCCCCACCAGAGACAAUCCCCGAAGAGUUGAUUUGGUGACAUUUGUGUUUAUUUUCUCCUCUUUUAUUGUUUUCUUUGCUCUUACAGAAAUUAAUGCAUAUUAGCUCUUUGGCACUUCUCUUUUAAAGAUGAAUCUGAUUUUGAGACACAUGCUUUGCCUUGGCAAACCUUGGAUAUUUUUAAGAUCGAUUAAUUGGGCAUAAAGAUAAUGACGCCCAUGCUUUGUCUUAAUGGUUCGUGAAAGUAGCUGUUGCUCAGGGGAGGAAAGAACAGGACUCUGCUUGCGUUUCCUCUAAGAGGUAUCAGUUUAGUUGUAGCACGCAUACCAUAUUCAGAGAGAUUGCAGCUUCCAAUCAACAGGUGAUGAGUCCUCUUGAUUCAAGGGCUUGAGUCAAUCAUAUAGUUUGAGUAGUAUUUCAUUUUUCUUGAUUUAGUCGUAUUGAUUUAGGAUAGCUAGGAGUCAUAUCUCAGCUACCUAUAGUCAAUACUAGUAGAGGCUUCAUCGACAGUCAAUAGAGUUAAUGUAUUUGAUUCCAGCAUUUUUUUGUAAAA